UCGUUUUUGUGUUCUACAUUUGUUCACAUUUUAACAGAAGUGUGCAGUCACGUAGCUGCCCUUUUGUUCGCCGUCGACUGCACAAGCCGCAGCCUUGCAGAAGGUGCAUCAUGUACAUCUCUUCCAUGUCAAAAGUUAACUAGAAGUCAACUAUGGUACCCCUUGAUGAGACGAACCUCAGCAAACCUGGAAAACCAAGGAAAUCAAUUCCGAAAGAGCCUGACAACACUUCUGAGCUUUAUAAUCCCGCUGAUGCGCACAUAUUUAAAAGACUGAGAGAGAUCAAUCCAGCUGCAGUUGUCCUAAGAUCUGUGCCAAAGAUGGACCCUGAUGAUACGGAUUCCGCUUCAGAAGAUGAAGAGUGCUACACAUUUUUGAGGAAUGCCGCAAAAUCUGGUUCCAGUGGCGAGACACUAAUGCACGACCUCUUCGUGCCUAUCACUGAAAUCGAAAGGAUUUAGAAGUCAACUAGGCAGCAGUCUUCAAGCCACCUGUGGAAGGAGGCAAGAUACGGAAGAAUUACAGCAUCCAUAAUGCAUAGGGCAAGUAACUUGCCACACUUAAUUCUCAGUUGACCCGAACAAUGUGGCGCAUGAAAUGUGUAAUGCAUAUAAAACUGAAGAAUGAAAAUAAUGUUUCUGUAAUUUAGGUCAAGGCACGAAAGCUAACCACAAAUCCUCUAGAGAGU